AGUGAACGCUGGCGGUAGGCCUAACACAUGCAAGUCGAACGGCAGCACAGUAAGAGCUUGCUCUUACGGGUGGCGAGUGGCGGACGGGUGAGGAAUACAUCGGAAUCUACUUUUUCGUGGGGGAUAACGUAGGGAAACUUACGCUAAUACCGCAUACGACCUACGGGUGAAAGCAGUGGAUCUUCGGACCUUGCGCGAUUGAAUGAGCCGAUGUCGGAUUAGCUAGUUGGCGGGGUAAAGGCCCACCAAGGCGACGAUCCGUAGCUGGUCUGAGAGGAUGAUCAGCCACACUGGAACUGAGACACGGUCCAGACGCCUACGGGAGGCAGCAGUGGGGAAUAUUGGACAAUGGGCGCAAGCCUGAUCCAGCCAUACCGCGUGGGUGAAGAAGGCCUUCGGGUUGUAAAGCCCUUUUGUUGGGAAAGAAAAGCAGCAGGUUAAUACCCCGCUGUUCUGACGGUACCCAAAGAAUAAGCACCGGCUAACUUCGUG
rnacentral:rRNA from 1 species